rnacentral:hammerhead_ribozyme from 1 species
UGACGAGUCCCAAAUAGGACGAAAUGCGCGUC